rnacentral:rRNA from 1 species
AUGAUAAAGCCUAUCAUAUACAUAGAGGACAUGACAAACACGGUUGUUAGAGACUUGAACCUUGCUUCGUCCAAACGACAUCAGCGCCAUGCCGAGCACUUCCUGCAGCAGUUAGAGGAGUCAAGGACCAAUAAAAGGAUGCUUGCUAGAGGUUGGCUUCUUGCCGUCAGAUACAUGCAUUACUUUUCUGUGCACAUUAGAAAUGUGGUUGCCAUGGACUACUCUGUUGGAGAUCUUCCUGACACAAUGGAAGACACAAGCAACCGCUUGGAAGGACAUUUGGAAAAAAGGUCGCUCUAUUAG